UGGGGAAUAUUGCACAAUGGGCGAAAGCCUGAUGCAGCAACGCCGCGUGCGGGAUGACGGCCUUCGGGUUGUAAACCGCUUUCAGCAGGGACGAAGGUUUUCUGACGGUACCUGCAGAAGAAGCACCGGCUAACUACGUGCCAGCAGCCGCGGUGAUACGUAGGGUGCGAGCGUUGUCCGGAAUUAUUGGGCGUAAAGAGCUUGUAGGCGGUCCGUUGCGUCGGAAGUGAAAACUCAGGGCUUAACCCUGAGCCUGCUUUCGAUACGGGCGGACUUGAGGGAUGUAGGGGAGAACGGAAUUCCUGGUGGAGCGGUGGAAUGCGCAGAUAUCAGGAGGAACACCAGUGGCGAAGGCGGUUCUCUGGACAUUUCCUGACGCUGAGAAGCGAAAGCGUGGGGAGCAAACAGGCUUAGAUACCCUGGUAGUCCACGCCGUAAACGGUGGGCACUAGGUGUGGGACCCAUUCCACGGGUUCCGUGCCGUAGCUAACG
rnacentral:rRNA from 1 species